rnacentral:siRNA from 1 species
AUAGUCAAGGACAUUAUGCGAGAG